ensembl:processed_transcript
AGAGGGACUUAUCUGACAGACGCGCGCUGUUUACAGUGGGGCAGAGGAGCUAAUAGCAGAACUGGUUGUUAGUUUUGGCGUAAUUUAUCAUCAUCGUGGUAUAUUGUUACGUUUAUGGAAACUGCACAAACUCCAGCCUGUCAACAGAUCAAGUCCACAAGUGUCCUCUUGCUAUUUUGGUUCGUGAAAUGGGAUGAAUCCGAUAAGAGUGAUAGCUGACGCGAACGGCGAGAAACACUCCUGGAUCAGUCGCAGAUGCAGCUCGAAGGCUGUACACGACUUUGGGAGACAGACGAUGACCCGGAGCUGAAGGCUUUCUCUCCACUGGCCUCUCGGUCAAUUGUGCUUCACUUUGGCUCACAGAGUAACCUCAACUAAGAUUAUAUGCAUCAGCCCUCACUGCGUGUCUGACGGUGGACUACUGGAGUUCAUCACAGGCUCGACGAGAAUGCAGAACUUUGCACUACACUUGCUCUCCUUUCUAGAUCCUUCCAGCGGGUUUACAAGGAUGAAGCUGUCGGCAUCUUUUUACACAGCAUUCACAAUUUAACACAUUAAAGACAUGAUGGUGUGGUACCCACAUAAGCGUUGGCCAACUUACUGAAAAAUAAUUUUAAAUACUUUUAAAUGGGUCAGAUGAUAUAUUUUCCUUUCAGUAUACACACACUCACACAGAUACUUAUACAUAUAUAAAGAGUAAAAAUGCUGGGUAUUAACACUGCUUAUGAUUUUGUGCUAUAUAAAUAAAAAUCGACCUUGGGUUGCAUUUAGAAUUUGAACUUGAAUUAGGGUUGAAGUUUAUUUAAUCAUAAUGCAGAUUAGAUCUGUUGAUCAAAUCUUUGUAAAUAUUUUAUACUGUAACAACUAUACUUGUCUUUUUAUGGAUU